AUUGAACGCUGGCGGCAGGCCUAACACAUGCAAGUCGAGCGGAUGAAGGGAGCUUGCUCCUGGAUUCAGCGGCGGACGGGUGAGUAAUGCCUAGGAAUCUGCCUGGUAGUGGGGGAUAACGUCCGGAAACGGGCGCUAACACCGCAUACGUCCUGAGGGAGAAAGUGGGGGAUCUUCGGACCUCACGCUAUCAGAUGAGCCUAGGUCGGAUUAGCUAGUUGGUGGGGUAAAGGCCUACCAAGGCGACGAUCCGUAACUGGUCUGAGAGGAUGAUCAGUCACACUGGAACUGAGACACGGUCCAGACUCCUACGGGAGGCAGCAGUGGGGAAUAUUGGACAAUGGGCGAAAGCCUGAUCCAGCCAUGCCGCGUGUGUGAAGAAGGUCUUCGGAUUGUAAAGCACCUUAAGUUGGGAGGAAGGGCAGUAAGUUAAUACCUUGCUGUUUUGACGUUACCAACAGAAUAAGCACCGGCUAACUUCGUG
rnacentral:rRNA from 1 species